AUUGAACGCUGGCGGCAGGCUUAACACAUGCAAGUCGAGCGGAGCGAGGGUGCUUGCACCUUAGCUUAGCGGCGGACGGGUGAGUAAUGCUUAGGAAUCUGCCUAUUAGUGGGGGACAACAUUCCGAAAGGGAUGCUAAUACCGCAUACGCCCUACGGGGGAAAGCAGGGGAUCUUCGGACCUUGCGCUAAUAGAUGAGCCUAAGUCGGAUUAGCUAGUUGGUGGGGUAAAGGCCUACCAAGGCGACGAUCUGUAGCGGGUCUGAGAGGAUGAUCCGCCACACUGGGACUGAGACACGGCCCAGACUCCUACGGGAGGCAGCAGUGGGGAAUAUUGGACAAUGGGCGGAAGCCUGAUCCAGUCAUGCCGCGUGUGUGAAGAAGGCCUUUUGGUUGUAAAGCACUUUAAGCGAGGAGGAGGCUACUAGUAUUAAUACUACUGGGUAGUGGACGUUACUCGCAGAAUAAGCACCGGCUAACUCUGUGCCAGCAGCCACGGUAA
rnacentral:rRNA from 1 species